rnacentral:piRNA from 1 species
UGUAUUGAGGCCUGAGCAACAAGCAU